UGAUGGAAGUGAAAGAGGAGAGUCAAGCUGAAGUGGAUGAGAAACAUCAGAUUGUAAAAAUAAAUCAUAAUGUUUCACAGAAAGAAACUCUGAAGACAGAAGACAUAAAGUGUGAAAAUAGUUUCAGAGAAGAUGAACGCCCUGCAGAUCACAAGAGGACUCACAGUGAGAAGAAACCUUUCACAUGUCAACAGUGUGGAAAGAGUUUCAGAAGAAAAGAUCACCUUAAAGCACACAUGAUGAUUCACACCGAAAACAAAAGACACGUGUGUCAUCAGUGUGGAAAGAGUUUUACAACUGCAGGUGAACUUAAGAUACACAUGAGGACUCACACUGGAGAGAAACCUUACACUUGUCAUCAAUGUGGAAAGAGUUUCACCUCUCAAUCAAGCCUUAACCGGCACAGGAAAACUCACAGUGGGCAAAAGCCACACGCGUGCCAACAUUGUGACAAGAGUUUCCCAGAUACAAGUAAACUUAAGAUACACAUUAGAGUUCACACUGGAGAGAAACCAUUCACGUGUCAUCUGUGUGGAAAGAGUUUUAUAAAAAAAUGUUACCUUAAUGUACACCUAAGUAGUCACACUGGAGAGAAACCAUACGUGUGUCAACAUUGUGGAAAGAGUUUCAGGACAAAAACAAACCAUAAUGUACAUUUGAUCACUCACACUAAAGAGAAACCGUUCACAUGCCGUGAGUGUAAAAAGAGUUUCAAAAAUAAAUGUAACCUUUUAACACACGUGAGAAGUCACACUGGAGAGAAACCUUACAUAUGUCUUCAGUGUGGAAAGGGUUUCACAAGUGACUUCAAUCUUAAGAGACACAUGACAAUUCACACCGCAGAAAAACCGUUCCCAUGUCAACAGUGUGGAAAGAGUUUUAGAAUAAGAGCUGACCUUAAUGUACACCUAAGAAUUCACACCGGAGAGAAACCUCACGUGUGUGAUCAGUGUGGAAAAAGUUUCAGGACGAAACCAAAACUUACUGUACAUUUGAGCACUCACACUGAAGAGAAACCGUUCACAUGCCAUGAGUGUAAACAGAGUUUCAAAACAAAAGCUACCCUUAAAAUACACAUGAGAAUCCACACUCAAUAAAAAUCAUUCAUGUGUCAACAGUGUGGAUAUGGCAACAAAGUUUAUAAAUCAGCUGAGGUCUUAUUAAUAAAACUGUCUGGAGUAUCCUUACUAAAGGUCUACAUGCGCACAAAAGCCAAAAAUGGCAUACGGCAAAAAAAUAGCUCAAUAGUUGUUCUUGUCUGUACUUGUGUUCUUGUGAAACGUCAUUAGUUGCGGCCCAAGUACUGUUCCAAUUCCAAGUUCACAUCAAGUCAAGUUCACAUAACAUCUCAGGAUGUGUUCUUGAUCCACUCAUUUUUGGGCGACACAGUGCCUCACAGCAAGAAGGUCCCCGGUUCGAGCCCCGGCUAGGGCAGGUGGCCUUUCUGUGUGGAGUUUCUGCAUGUUCUCAGUGUCAGCGUGGGUUUACUCCGGGUACUCCGGUUUCCUCCCACAGGCCAAAAACGUGCAAGUUAGGCAAAUUGGAGAUACCAAAUUGUCCCUCCCCCAACCUGUGUAUGGAUCAACUUGUCUGAAUAAAACUUGUGUAUGGAUUAACUGGUUCUCGCCAUGAAUAUAGCCGUAGAUGCUGGAAUGGCGUUAAGAAGUAAAGGAAGAAGAAGAAGAUCCGCUCAUUUUAUCGAGGAUGCAUCAGGAGGUGUAUUGUGUGCACUUACGACAGCCAAGUUUCACAGAAUGCAUUUUGCGUCAACGGCAACGGAGCUUAAAACCGGCACAAUAUUUGAAAUAUUACUCUUUCUGUGUCAUAAAAUGCAACCGUUUAGUUGAUGAGUAUAGAUGAAUAAACUUCAAAUCUGUGGUCAGUUUCCUCUGUCAGUGCAAUGUACACCGCCAAGGGCAGCCUAAAAGUAUCUGAUGGUCAAACAUUAAAUUUUCUCUUUGGAUAUAUCUAACCGGCAUUUUUUGGUCUUAUCAAUUUAUUUCUCUUUAUUAUUCAUAUGAAGUCUGUUAUUUGUUGUUAUCGUUUUAACUGAUGUUAAAGUUAAGUUUCAUUACUUAAAUCACAUAUAUUUUCUAUAUAAUCUUAACACUGUAUCACUGCCUUUGUAUUUUAACUAGAUUUGUUUCUUGUGUUUCCUUCAUGUUGUACAAAUGUUUUGUACUUUAUAAUAAAUGGUUGUGUUUUAUAUCAUAUUUCAUUUUGUAGUAAAUACAUUAAUCAGUGUACUUGUUGCCUGAACCACAUAUUUGUAUUUUCUAAAUGAAAACAAGCAAGGUUUUUGCAUUUUAUAUAAUUUGUUUUAUCGCAAAAAUACAUUAAAAUAACCCAAGGCUACACGUAUUGGUGAGACCGAAUGACGACCUCAAGUAGGUAGCCUACUCUGCUGUUCAUUUGCUAUUUAAAGGUGCAGUGUGUAAAUUUUAGCAGCAUCUAGUGGUGAGGUUGCGAAUUGCAACCAACGGCUCAGUCCCCUGCUUACCCCUUGCUUUUGAAAUGCAGAGAGAAGCUACGGUAGCCACCACCAGAAAAAAACGUCAUCGUCGGAGACAACUUAGUUAAAAAGUUUGUCCGUUAAGGGCUUCUGUAGAAACAUGGCGGCACAAAAUGGCGACUUCCACGUAAGGGGACCCUAUGUGUAUGUAGAUAAAAACGUCUCAUUCUAAGGUAAUAAAAACAUAACUGUACAUUAUGAAAAGGUAUUUAUACACCCCUGAUAAUAUAGUUUUGUAUAUUAUUUUGCAUUUCUGUCAAGAGAUCCUUCUAAAAAUUACACAUUGCACCCUUAACAUAACAUAACCAUUAAAUGAUAAAUACGCACAGUAAUUAAGGAAAAUAUUUUGUUAUUUACACUGUGUUCUGCAGUUAUCUAAUGGGUAUUUGAUGCUGUAUUACAUCUCCUCCUGCGCUCCCCUGAUGAAGACAGCGCUGAUUAAAUAUAAGAAAUAUUGAUUUAAGAUUGGAUUUUACAAGAUGUAUGUGAAAUAAUUGUAACUCUGUACAAGCACAAAUGACUGCUAAAUUUAAUAAUGACUUCAUGAUAAUGUGGAUAUACCCGUGUGAAAUGUAUAAUUGUGUGUAAUGAAUAAUUGACGACGGGCCGUUGAAUUAUUGGAAAAUAAUGCACACCCAAGGUGUUAAUGCGUUCCCUUGACGUUCUCAUAACAUUCUGAUAUUGUUCCCUAACCUUUUUAUUGUGAUAUGCCUGAAUGCAAAUAAUCUGAAUAAAUAUCAUGUGUUAAAAAGUGUUUAUUAUUCAGAGAACAUGAACUGGAGCUUGUUUUUAUAAAAAAACAUCAGCAUUACCUUUUGUAUAGUUAGCGCUGUGUUUUAUAAAAUAUAUAAAUAACCUAUGACUUCAACACAAUAUAUGAUUUAAAACCGAUAUUGAUUGACAGAUAAAUACAUUUUACACAUAUUACCACAGUAGUUACUCGCUCAUCCGUCUUUAGAUACAACAAUUAAUCAAAAGCUUCUCCCUUACAUUGCAUUCAAUGUGUCAAAUUGAUAGGAAAUCAUUCAAAUAUAUUUUUGUUUAGUCAUAUUUAAUUUACUAAAUGAAGAAAGAGAUUAAAGAAUAUGCUAAAAUCAUGUGCAGUCUAACGCACUUCUCGUGCGGCAUUAUUACCAUCUUUGUUGUGAAUUAUAUAAAAUGAGUUAAGCUUUUUGUAAACUCGCAUGAGUUUACAUGGCUGCUGCCUUCAGAAAAUGUUGAAAUAUUUAAAUAUUUUCUUCUAUUAUAGAGGUUAUUUUUACUGCUAAAUUCAGAGGCCAAGUAUAUGUUUUGUACUAGUUUAUUAUACGGGAUAAUUUUGUGUUUUUUAUUUCCCUGCACGUCUGUGCUUCACACUCCAGUACAGCAGGAGGCGGUAGUGCACCAUAAGUUGGUUUGCCAACCGCCAUAAAACUCCAGAAGAAGAAGAUUCGAAUCAAAAGACUCGUAAUGAUUUGAAGCCUCACGAAUCAGUGUUUAAAGCGAUCACCACUAGAGCCUGAUGUUUUCAGUCACGUGUAAAAUAAUCCGUCUUCGAUUAUUUUAUUGGUUUGUCAACAGAAGACAGGAUUUCUUAAUACGCUAACCGUUAGCAGUGAGAUGAAGUUGAAAAUCUGACCCGGACUCACUGUUGUCUCUGGAGCAGGGAUCCAUUGUCCGGACAGCGUCAUAAACAUCUCCUGACUCAUACAGUUGUGUACUUUGAGUUCACACCCAUAAAGUGAAAGUGAUUGAGACCUUCAGUGAAGCUCCUCCUACAACAAUCCACCAAUAAAUGCUGGAGUCAAACACACAGAGAAAUCACUCCAUGUGUGACAACUGAAAUCUUCAUGACAUAAUGUUGAUGCUGGUGAAAGAGGAGCUUGAGAAGAUGACAGAUCCACAACCAUGCAGAAUAAAGCAAGAAGAUACUGAGGAACAAAUAGAUAUGAUGGAAGUGAAAGAGGAGAGUCAAGCUGAAGUGGAUGAGAAACAUCAGAUUGUAAAAAUAAACCAUAAUGUUUCACAGAAAGAAACUCUGAAGACAGAAGACAUAAAGUGUGAAAAUAGUUUCAGAGAAGAUGAACGCCCUGCAGAUCACAAGAGGACUCACAGUGAGAAGAAACCUUUCACAUGUCAACAGUGUGGAAAGAGUUGCGCCUCUAAAUCAGGCCUUAGCCGGCACAGGAAAGCUCACAUGGGGGGAAGUCCACAUGCGUGCCAGCAUUGUGACAAGAGUUUCCCAUAUAAAAGUGGACUGAAGAUACACAUGAUGUCUCACACUGGAGAGAAACCUUACACUUGUCAUCUGUGUGGAAAGAGUUUCACAAGUGAAAACACUCUUAAGAUACACAUUAGAGUUCACACCGGAGAAGGAAUGUUCACUUGUCAACAAUGUGGAAAGAGUUUUAUUAAAAAUUUUUACCUUAAUGUACACCUAAGAAUUCACACUGGAGAGAAACCAUACGUGUGUCAACAAUGUGGAAAGUGUUUUAAAAUGAAAUGUGACCUUAAUGCACAUGUGAGAAUUCACACUGGAGAGAAACCAUACGCGUGUCAACAGUGUAGAAAGAGUUUCAGGACAAAACCAAACCUUAAAGCACAUUUGAGAACUCACACUGAAGAGAAACCGUUCACAUGCCAUGAGUGUGAAAAAUGUUUCAAAAAUAAAAGUAGCCUUAUAACACACAUGAGAAGACACACUGGAGAGAAACCUUACGUGUGUCAUCAAUGUGGAAAGGGUUUUAUAAAAAAAUGUCCCCUUAAAAGACACCUGAGAAUUCACACUGGAGAGAAACCAUACGUGUGUCCUCAAUGUGGAAAGAGUUUCAGGACAAAAGCAAGCCUUAAAGCACAUUUAAUCACUCACACUGAAGAGAAACCGUUCACAUGCCAUGAGUGUAAAAAAAGUUUCAAAACAAAAGCUUACCUUAAAAUACAUGCAAGAAUCCACACUCGAUAGAAACCAUUAAUGUGUCAACAGUGUCUUUGUACUUUAACCUUUUUUUACUUGUGUUUACUACAUAUUUGUACAAAAUAUUUGUACUUUUAUAAUAAAUGGUUGUGCUUAACAUCAUA